rfam:Larimichthys crocea isolate SSNF unplaced genomic scaffold scaffold199, whole genome shotgun sequence.
UCCCUGGUGGUCUAGUGGUUAGGAUUUGGCGCUCUCGCUGCCAUGGCCUGGGUUUGUUUCCUGGUCAGGGAA